GCCCUUGGCACCCUUGCUGCUCUUGCCACCUCCCUUCGAGCUUGAUGUCUUACUGUUUGCAACUGGUGGAUUGGCCGAGUCAACAUCCUGCAGCCCAGACUCCAGUGCUCGAACAAGGUUCUCAAAGUAAGUCCUUGUCACACUGGUUAACCCGGCUAACUUUGUGCGAAAAUCAUUAAACUCUUUCAUAGGUUCGGUUGCAUCCAGGAAACCCUGGAGUUCCUUCUCUGCACAUUGAUGAAGCCGUUCUAAACCGGACUCUGCUUCACCUUGCAGAUACUCAAAAAAUUGUCUUUUAGUGCUUUCAUGCUCAGGCAGGUAAUA
rnacentral:misc_RNA from 1 species